rnacentral:rRNA from 1 species
UACGAAGGGGGCUAGCGUUGUUCGGAAUUACUGGGCGUAAAGCGCGUGUAGGCGGGCCGUUAAGUCGGGGGUGAAAGCCGAGAGCUCAACUCUGGAACUGCCUUCGAUAAUGGCGGCCUGGAGCAUGAUAGAGUCGAGUGGAAAUGCGAGUGUAGAGGUGAAAUUCGUAGAUAUUCGCAGGAGCACCAGUGGCGAAGGCGAAUCGCUGGAUCUUUGCUGGCGCUGAGACGCGAAAUCGUGGGGAGCAAACAGG